UACGUAGGGUGCAAGCGUUAAUCGGAAUUACUGGGCGUAAAGCGUGCGCAGGCGGCUUUGCAAGACAGAUGUGAAAUCCCCGGGCUCAACCUGGGAACUGCAUUUGUGACUGCAUGGCUAGAGUGCGGCAGGAGGGGGAUGGAAUUCCGCGUGUAGCAGUGAAAUGCGUAGAUAUGCGGAGGAACACCGAUGGCGAAGGCAAUCCCCUGGGCCUGCACUGACGCUCAUGCACGGAAAGCCGUGGGGAGCAAACAGG
rnacentral:rRNA from 1 species